AAAUUGCAUCAGCUGUGGUAGUGAAUUUGCCAAGUUAAUUCUUUCAUACCGGGUUAUCAAUUCCUGUGAAGGAAUAAAUCAAUACCAAGACAAAAACAACCUUUUUUGGCCGGUGACGCGUAGAUUCCGUGGCUUCAUGAUAUGGCAUUGGAGAUCUAUCAGAUUAUGGACUUGGACCAUACUUAGUUCGUAUGUUGAAGACAAACCAUAGUUGAAGUCAAUGUGCAUAAUUUCGCCCCAAGUGCAGUUUACUGGCCCCUCUUCGAUACCUGUGAAAAUGACUGUUUAGCGUGCUGAUUCUAACUAUAUAAAAAAUUCCUGGUGGCGGAUUUGGAUCUUGAGAAAUAGACUUCGAAGGGGUCAGUCAAAACGAUCAAAAAACUCGAAAGUUUUCCAACAGUUUUUUUUUACAAAUUUCACGUCCUUAGAAGGCUUGUUUCAAUAGCUUUCGGACGAACACAUUUCAUUUGAAUAGCCAGCAGCAACGGACUAUGCCAAUUAAUUCGACUUCCACCAACACUACAGGCGUCCACCAUAAUUACAAGAGCUUUUAAACAAACAAAAAUGUGACACCAGUACAGGCGUCCACCAAAAUUACAAGAGCUUUUGAACAGGUCAGGCCACAAAUUUCGUCACACUACCAGCGCCAAUACAAAAACAUUUAAAACCAAAAAAUCAAAACGCCAAGAUAAAACAAGUUGGGAUGGGAUGGGAUGCAUUUGCAAUACAUGCAUCUUGUAAGAAGCUACGAAAAACACAGCAAAUGAAAUCGGCGAACUCUCCGACCUCAAGUAGAACAAUGGCUUCCACCAGGACGACAAUAACUACCGCACCCACACCUCCAGUUGCGGCGAGUAUGAUAGUAACGCCGAAUAACAUUAGCAGUGUAUUGGUUUCGGCUAGUGCAAGGAUUACAGCCAGCAAUGGGACCACCGGCACAAAUGGAUCCAUUAAGAAGCCCCAAUAAAAAUCAAUCGCUUCAAGAGGAUGCAAAGGGUCAACCAAAAGGUCUUUCCAGAAAUCUGCGGGCAAAAAAUGACUAGUCGCUCAUCAUGCUCCCACAUGUGAGCCCCCUGAUUUGAGCGCUGUAAAGAAUGCUGCUAAACUAGCAUCCUUUAAACACGAACUCGAUGAUUAAUUACUUUCUGCUCUUUCAGGAGAAAAGUUCUGAAGAUCAAAAAACCGUAUUACUUCAAUAUUUUCAGAUGGAAAGCGCUGAGGGAAAUUUAAAAUUCUUCCUCAGAUGUUAAUAGACACAGUUAUCCAACAGUACCAGUUCAGUCAAUGUCCUCGACACUGACGUCGACACAAUUAUAUGUAAACAUGUCUACCACAAUGCCAGCAACAAGAAGGCAAAUGUUAGCAAUGAUGAAUGUGAAUGCCGAUGGACUCGUCGGUUGUUGGAACUGCCCAAGCGUCUCUAGAACACACAAUACUCAUGUAUCUACAGCAGCAGCAACAAUAACAAAAUCACUCAAUUGUAAGCCAACCAAAUUGGCAACAACCGCUGCAGCCUCAACCACCUACAAAGGUUUCCUAUGAAAGUAAAGUUAAUUUGAAUGCCUCGACUUCAUCGGACAUCAAUGCGACAAGGAAAAACUAUAGCAUUCUGUCCAUACCGCCAAACUUAAAUACAGCGUCCUCGUCCUCGGUUAUUAUUGCCUAUAUUACUGGCUUCUUUGCCAGUCUCAAUUUUAAUCGCUUGUUAACGAAACAGCAGUCUCUCAAUUACAAUUACAAAAUCAUUCGAGUUCUGUUUUAGGUGAUCAAAAUUCCUUUAGAACUCGUCGUCGUUUGUGUAGAACUAAGGCUUAAAAAAUCACUGUGCAACAAUUGCACAAUGAAUGAGGGCAAUGUGAUGAACAACGCGAUCACGUUCCGUGCCCUUGUCACAAUUGCAUCGCUCACACUCACCCACUUUUAAUCGAGCACUUCAAAUGGCCAUUGGCGGAGGCACCUCCAGACACCCGUACUCUCUGGGCGCCCAUACGUGAUGGUUUCGACAAUAUAACGUUGGAAAUUACAUUUAAACCUUAUGGCUUGCAGCGAGUGACAUUGUGUACCGAAUAUCAAAAGAUUGCUACAGAGUCUGACACCACAUUACACACUCUAUUGAUGUAAAGAUCCAUUCGAUGGCAUUGGUUUGUACCGGGUGACAACUUCUACAGGUAUCAACUAGUACAUUUACUGUUGAACCUAGAUUAAAUCGACGACACAUAAAUAUGUCGUACCAUUAACGAUUGAUUCUCUUGCCAGAUUUUAACGAAAUUUCAUUAUAUUAACGUGUUACAUCGGUAUUCGCAGAACCUAAAGCAGCUUAGAAAAGAUUUAUUUCGAAAGCUGCCAAAUAAACCGGUAGACUACUACCCACCUACUCGUGUUAGCAUUAGCGCAUCCAGUCCAGCUUUCUGUUGAAACACUUCGAAUAGCAAUAAAAUUAGCAAAAACCAA